rfam:Solanum tuberosum cultivar DM 1-3 516 R44 scf00192_34, whole genome shotgun sequence.
UUGAAGAAUUUGAAGACUUCAACUUGUAGACUUGAAAAAUUUGAAGACUUCAACUUGCAUACUUGGAGAUUCUGAAGACUUCAUCU